rnacentral:rRNA from 1 species
UACGGAGGAUCCAAGCGUUAUCCGGAAUCAUUGGGUUUAAAGGGUCCGUAGGCGGCCCGAUAAGUCAGUGGUGAAAUCUCCCGGCUCAACCGGGAAAUGGCCAUUGAUACUGUCGGGCUUGAAUUAUUAGGAAGUAACUAGAAUAUGUAGUGUAGCGGUGAAAUGCUUAGAUAUUACAUGGAAUACCGAUUGCGAAGGCAGGUUACUACUAAUUGAUUGACGCUGAUGGACGAAAGCGUGGGUAGCGAACAGG